rnacentral:lncRNA from 1 species
AGAUUUUUAACCUUAUUAAUUAUCAAGAUUUGUACACAAACAAUGUAGAUUAAAGUCUUUCCUGCUUGAAAAAGUCCGUAUUGAAAAAAUUUGUUCGAGAUUGAUGGAAAUGCCAAAAACAGCCGAAAAAUUAUAGACAGUAAGUUGGAACAGAAGACAAAAGCAAUGACACACAAGAACACAACAAAACAAACCAUUCCAUAAGCCGUCUCUACAGUAUCUGUCAAAUUUACAGCAACGUUUGUUUAUUGGAUGUACCAAAGUCACCAUUCAAUUUGACUUUUUCUGCUUUCCAUCUCAAUAUUGGAAAGAUUUGGAUCAAA